rnacentral:lncRNA from 1 species
GUCCUGAAUAUUGGCACCAGACUGUUAUUACUCUGAGAGGAACUGAGCCAAGCAGAUUGUAGGGGAAGUAGUUUGCCAUUGGAUUAAGUUCAGGAAGUAGUAAUUGUUAGGUAAACAGUGAUGACCCAGUAAGGAACACAGUCAGCUGAAUUGAGCGGUUCUGGGUAGGACCUCCUGAAGUACCGUCAAAGAAAAUCCUAAGGCUGACGCAGAGUAAGGCCCUGGAAGCAGCCUGUGCAUUGAGCACUGGAGUCUACCGAGGAACAGCCACCCAGAGGAGCCCCUAGUGCUGUCAUCCGGGACAGCUGAGUUAGACAGAAGUUAACAUGCAAUCGGAAAGGGACUGGGCCCUUGAAGACAGCACAAAAGAUGAA